CACUCUGGAAACAGUUUCAAGAUUGAAUGUGAACGAGGCUGGAGUGGCAAAAAAAAAAAGCGACAGAUGGCAAGGUGGCCAGCAUAUCCAGAAGUGGCUCACAGACCACGGUCAACAAAGGGAGUCUUGAGAAACGCCCCACCAGAGAGUGGUGGUCUAUGUGGCUGUGUGACUGCAGAUCCAGAUGGCUGACCUGUGAUGGGGCUGGCAAGAGUGAGCUUUAGUCACACUUCUCCAGGUUGGAUGCUACAAAGAUGAUUAACUCGCAUUCUCUUAGCAGGCGCUUUGAAACUGCUUUGAACAACAGGGAAGGAAGAACCUUGGGAAACCUAGAACUCUGAUCCACUCGAACCCAUGCUCGGGAGUCCUGAGAUGAGCCACAGUAUUCAAGGUCUCGACUCUUGGUGCACUUUACUCUCACCUGUGGAACUUUGAAUGACACAGUUGCCACUGCCCACGCCUGGAGACCCCGGUGCAAUGGGAGAGUCCUUCAUCAUAGCUGGAUUUUGACCAUACAGAUAGUUGUACUCACCUUUAACUCAAAUGAGAAGAAUGUGUUUGCCACGACUUCACUAAACAUGAGACUAGAAGCUCUAUGAUAUGUAUUUAUCAUCUCUUUCCUUCUAAAAUGAUUUUUCUUAUACAGCUCCUCCUUUCAAAUAUUUAAAUACUCUAGGGAAUAUCAGUAAAUGUAUUUUUAAACCCACACUUUCAACAUUUCCAUUUCAACAUUCUUUUUGGAUAUCAAAAAGAAUAAAAGUAAUCAUCGGAAUAAAAAUGGAAAUUUCUCUGGCAGUGCAUAAAAGGGAAACAGUUACUAGGUUGAGAAGGAAUCCAUUAAGAUUAUGAUUAUCAGUAAUAUCCAAAGAAUUUACAGUAGUAUUUUUAUAAAAGCAAGACUCUAAAAUUUGCUCUAUUUUGACAAUUCUAUGAGUGGUAAAAAAAAUUUUUUUUGAAAU